rnacentral:rRNA from 1 species
UAGGGAAUCUUCCACAAUGGGCGCAAGCCUGAUGGAGCAACACCGCGUGAGUGAAGAAGGGUUUCGGCUCGUAAAGCUCUGUUGUUAAGGAAGAACACGUAUGAGAGUAACUGUUCAUACGUUGACGGUAUUUAACCAGAAAGUCACGGCUAACUACGUGCCAC